rnacentral:rRNA from 1 species
UACGGGAGGCAGCAGUGGGGAAUAUUGCACAAUGGGCGCAAGCCUGAUGCAGCCAUGCCGCGUGUAUGAAGAAGGCCUUCGGGUUGUAAAGUACUUUCAGUAGGGAGGAAGGUGAUUAAGUUAAUACCUUAAUCAUUUGACGUUACCUAC